rnacentral:lncRNA from 1 species
CUUUGGCAGCCAUACCUUCACAUGCAAAAUACUUCAAAUACAUCUUUUGCUUCAUCACCUCCUUUUUGCUCCUAGCUGACCUGUAUGCUCACGUGCCAUGCUGCUCAGGUCUGAGAUCCUGCAUGCAGAAAAGGGAUUCCACGCCUGGACUGUAGAUCUAGGAAGUACUGGGUGAGGGAAUACCCAAAUCCACACAGGAGUCCAGCCUGGAUUGCAGAUUCCACUUGUUAAAACAAGAGUUCCCAGAGGGAGCCCUAACGGCAGGCUCCAGAUGGGGCAGGCACAACGUAUCAAACUGUAAUUCCACUCACGGGUUCGAGGAUCAAAUCCUAUAUCUCUCCAAAGGAUGUAAGUUGAAUUUGAUGCCUAAAUCCCAAAGCAUUUUGCUCAGCUGCUGCAUAACCCUGUACACUAUAGGAACAUGAAACUUUGCCUCUGUGCAUGCUCCCAGAUGCUUUAUAUUUGACAAUAUUGAGCAUUUUGGCAUCUGUGUUACACCUGAGUCCUUUCAGGUUUCACCGAGUGGAUGCUGUGCCAUCUGUCAGCGUGGAUGUUUGAUGCAUUUGACAUGCUCUCAGCCUAGUGCCUGGAACAGAAACUGGGAUCUUUACUGAAAGAGAGGAAAAGGAAAAUCUUGAGUUGUAGCCUCUUUUUUUUUUUUUUUCCUGCGGGCUGUUAUAUUAUGCAGGAUCUGAGUAAAAUAUUAAGUGGGCUCUAAAAUGCAUACAGUGAGAUCUGAAAUGUAGGACACCCCCCCCCUCCCCCCUCCCCCCCCCCCCCCCAGAAAAAAAAAAAAAAAAAAUCUCUUGCUGUGAAGGUAGCAGUCUAGGUUUGCUGCUGUGAGCUCUCUUGGUGCCUUGUUUUGCAACCAUGACCACACCACGACCCAUCUUCAACAAGAGAGGCAGUGACUGUCCUUGGCAUGG